rnacentral:tRNA from 1 species
GGGUGGUUAGCUCAGCGGUAGAGCACUGUCUUCACACGGCAGGGGUCACUGGUUCGAACCCAGUACCACCCACCA